UGAUUAAAGGUGCAUCCCUACAGGGAGAGUUUAAUGCACUACACGAUCCUGGAGACUUCAUUUGCAAUCCGUUGUUACCGGAUUCUAAAACAAGAGGUAUCAUCAAAGACAAUCCAGUGGCUGAAAAACUCUUGAUGACAGAUCUUGCUCGUUGACCACCGAGAGAAUUGCUUUUGUGGUUUUUUGCCAUGCUUGAAGUACUUGGUGAAGGUGGUAAAGUAGGACAUAGAUUAGUAGUCACAGAUUUCAUAUAAUUAGAACAUCAGUAUGAAAAAUUAUGUACUUUAGAAAAUUAUUAGAAGAUACUAUGAACUAAAUAAAAGGAUA